rnacentral:lncRNA from 1 species
AUAGUCAACCCCACCAUAUUCUUUGACAUCGUGGUCCACGGGCCACGUCUCCUUCAGGCUGUUUGCAGACAAAAUUCCGAAAACAGCAGAAAACUUUCAUGCUCUCAACACUGGAGAGAAAGGAUUUGGUUAUAAGGGUUCCUGAAUUCAUAGAAUUAUUCUACAGUUUAUGAGUUAGGGUGGUGACUUCACAUGCCAUAAUGACACUGGUGGCAAAUUCAUCUAUGGGGAGAAAUUUGAUGAUGAGAACCUCAUCCGGAAGCACAAAGGUCCUGGUAUCUUGUCCAUGGCAAAUGCUGGACCCAACACAAAAGGCUUCCAGUUUUUCAUGUGCACCACCAAGACUGAGUGGUCGGAUGGCAAGCACGUGGUCUUUGACAAGGUGAAGGACAGCAUGGAUAUCAUGGAUGCCAUGGAGCACUCUUAGUCUAGGAAUGGCAAGACCAGCAAGAAGAUCCCCAUUGCU